CGAAUUGACUAACCUAACAGAAUUGCGAGAGGUCCCGGGAUCCCAACAUCUAGGGUCAGAACCAGCUUCCUGAAAAAACGUACACGGUGAGGUCUGGGACCUUGGAAUACUGAAAGCCCUUGGUUGUCUGAGGACAGCAAAGCGAGAGGGCUGAUCUUCUGACCCCCGGUGACGGGAUCCUACUGAAAGGGAAUUCUCCUGAGACGUCGGUGUGAGAACCAGUGAUCAAGCAAAAAGGCAAACGGUCGGACCAGAUGGCUGUGUGACAUGUUUUCAGUUCUGUGCAAGGAGCCACCAUCACACCAUGGAAGAUGUCAAUGGCACUGUGCGUCACCCUAAAAAUACCAUACCAACAAUGAGGUUUGGAGGUGGUGGCAUCAUGGUGUGGGCUGUUUUUCAUCUCAUGGUACUAGCAGACUUCAUACAGUUGAAGGAAUGAUGAAUGGAGUCAUUUUACUCCUGGAGAAUCCACCAGGAUGAUAAGGAUGAGACAUGGCUAGACCUUCCAGCAGGACAAUGAUCCAAACCA